rnacentral:rRNA from 1 species
AUUGAACGCUGGCGGCAUGCUUUACACAUGCAAGUCGAACGGUAACAGGCCGCAAGGUGCUGACGAGUGGCGCACGGGUGAGUAAUGCAUCGGAACGUGCCCAGUCGUGGGGGAUAACUACUCGAAAGAGUAGCUAAUACCGCAUACGAUCUAUGGAUGAAAGCGGGGGACCGUAAGGCCUCGCGCGAUUGGAGCGGCCGAUGUCAGAUUAGGUAGUUGGUGGGGUAAAGGCUCACCAAGCCAACGAUCUGUAGCUGGUCUAGAGGACAACCAGCCACACUGGGACUGAGACACGGCCCAGACUCCUACGGGAGGCAGCAGUGGGGAAUUUUGGACAAUGGGCGCAAGCCUGAUCCAGCAAUGCCGCGUGCAGGAAGAAGGCCUUCGGGUUGUAAACUGCUUUUGUACGGAACGAAACGGCUCUGGUUAAUACCCGGGGCUAAUGACGGUACCGUAAGAAUAAGCACCGGCUAACUACGUG